rnacentral:rRNA from 1 species
GCAUUCAGUUGCCAUCGGGUAAUGCCGGGCACUCUGGAAGGACUGCCAUCGACAAGAUGGAGGAAGGUGGGGAUGACGUCAAGUCAUCAUGGCCCUUAUGUCCAGGGCGACACACGUGCUACAAUGGCCGGCACAACGGGAAGCGAGUUCGCGAGGACGAGCGGAUCCCUUAAAGCCGGUCGCAGUUCGGAUUGAAGUCUGCAACUCGACUUCAUGAAGCUGGAAUCGCUAGUAAUCGUGGAUCAGCCAAGCCGCGGUGAAUACGUUCCCGGGCCUU